CGUGCUCGACUGCGACGACGGCUCCGACGAGCCGCACGCCGCCUGCGUGCUGGGCAGCGUGCGCGACGGCGUGCCCUGCCCGUUCCGCUGCGACAGCGGACGCUGCCGCUCCACUGCCAUCCUGUGCACAGGCACCGACGGCUGCGGCGACGCCUCUGACGAGGCGCGCUGCCGCACCUGCAAGUGCCCAAGCUUCAAAGCAAGAGCUCGGAGCAGCAAACCAUACAAGUUCUAUGGGUGAAAGCUAGUUUCGUCGUGGUGAACAGUGCGAUGUGCAGAUGCUUGUGCGAACAUUUGCGGUGAUUUGUGGAGUGCGAGACCCUGAUCGGUCCUGAUCAGGUGGCUAAUCUGCGCAGUGUCACAAGGAUCCCGGCCACAUUUGUCACGUGGGAUCGCGUGCAAACUGGCUGCUACUAAACACACACAUAUGCACACACACAUCCGUCAGAUGGCGACAGACGCAUGCCGGCGUUGUUUGUUCAUGCCAUUAAUGACAUCAGGCAUUAGUGGACAGUGUUCAGCGAAGGCGAGCUGCUGCUGGCGUGAAAAGGAACCGGGUGUCUUCUGGAACCUGGCGCAGCCUUCGUCGUUGUCCUUAUUUUCCCGCCGUCCCGUAAUAAUCCUAGUCGAUGCCGAAUAGGUAGGGAGAGUUAAUGUGAUAUGUCAAUGCGUUUGACUAUGGUGUUCAGCAUGCUGAGGGCAAUCACUGCACAGAUGUCAACGAUCGUUGUUUUAGCUGGGUUCGAACGCGCUUCGACGCUGUGUCCUUGAAAGCGUGACAGAGAUAAUUAGCAAUUGCAUUCAUGCUCGAAAUCUGACACUUUUUGUAAUGUUUUUGCGACAGUUGUCGUCACAUGACCGUAGUGAAUACAAGCUCUGUGUCGUGUCA